GUUUCAAAGAUGGACUGGGGAAAGACAUUAAGUUUGGAGCAGCUCAGUGCUACGGAUCUAGCCUCUCUCCCUCGGGUCUCCAGACUCACUUGGUCCAAGCUGCGGAGCAGGGACAGCGGAGCUCAGGCGGCCACGUUCAGGCCCAGCCACCAGAACCAGAGAGAAACCUACGCCCAGAAGAACAUGUCCCUGGAUUGCUUUCCCACUGCUGUGGAGUGUCUUGAACACUGGUCCCUGGACACCAACUUCAAGAAGACUUCAUGGAUGGCUGUCCAGUCUUAUGAGCCACAGUUUCCCCUCUACAUUUUCUUCACUCCAGCGAGGCUCUUAUCAGGGUCAGAUCAGAGAUGAACCAGCUGGACGACAGAUUGGAGCGCUGACCUCUUAGAGUGCUAACAGUGAACAGUGUGGGGUCAGAUCUAUAGAAAGAUAAUAAUAAGAAAACACCCUAUAUGCAAGGGAGAGGGAUGGUUCAUAAUUUCUUAAAGAUUGAAAUCAAGGAACAAUCAAAAUAUAGAAGAAUGUGGACGUGUUUUGCUGCAGGACUUCUGUUUUGUCCCCAUUGGAAUAUGUAUUAUGGUAUUCCUGUUGGAUCAGGACUCAGGGGCAAGGCUAAGCAUUCCAGUGGUCCUCCUACUUAGCUCUUGUCCUUUCUUCAGUCGAGGAAUAGCUUCCUCCAGGUGGUCUAUACCUAUCGCCAGUUUACAGAAAAAGGAAGCCAGGUGGAUGGAAAACGUGUGCCAAGUUUCUGUGCUUACAAUCCACUAAACUCAUUCUCAUAUGAGGACUUUAUAUACCUGUGAUGGAGUGGGAAAAUCAAUAACCUGGAAAAAAUGAGUACCAUUUUCCAAAGAAGUUCAAUAAAGAGAUGGAAUUUGG
rnacentral:lncRNA from 1 species